GCGCUAGCUUUGGCAGCACAUAUACUAAAAUCGGAACGAUACAUUGAAGAUUAACAUGUCCCCUGAGCAAGGAUGACAUGCAAAUUUGUGAAGCUUUCCAUAUAUUU
ensembl:snRNA U6 U6 spliceosomal RNA